rnacentral:rRNA from 1 species
UACGUAGGGUGCAAGCGUUGUCCGGAAUUAUCGGGCGUAAAGAGCUCGUAGGCGGUUUGUCGCGUCUGCUGUGAAAACUCGGGGCUUAACUCCGGGCCUGCAGUGGGUACGGGCAGACUAGAGUGCGGUAGGGGAGACUGGAAUUCCUGGUGUAGCGGUGAAAUGCGCAGAUAUCAGGAGGAACACCGGUGGCGAAGGCGGGUCUCUGGGCCGUAACUGACGCUGAGGAGCGAAAGCGUGGGGAGCGAACAGG